rnacentral:rRNA from 1 species
UCAUGCCCCUUAUGACCUGGGCUACACACGUGCUACAAUGGGCGGUACAAAGGGCUGCGAACCCGCGAGGGGGAGCGAAUCCCAAAAGCCGCUCUCAGUUCGGAUUGCAGGCUGCAACUCGCCUGCACGAAGCCGGAAUCGCUAGUAAUCGCGGAUCAGCAUGCCGCGGUGAAUACGUUCCCGGGCCUU